rnacentral:rRNA from 1 species
AACGAACGCUGGCGGCAGGCUUAACACAUGCAAGUCGAGCGCCCCCACCUUCAGGUGUCAGGUGCCAGGUAUCAGGUAUCAGAAAUAAAAAAGUCGCGCGAAGCGCAGCGGGGUUUCUGACACCUGACACCUGUUUUCUGAUACCUGAUGGUGGGGAGCGGCAGACGGGUGAGUAACGCGUGGGAACGUGCCUUUUGGUUCGGAAUAACUCAGGGAAACUUGAGCUAAUACCGGANAAGCCCCUUUUCAGGUGCCAGGUAUCAGAUUUCAGGUGUCAAAAACGAAAAAGUCGCGCGAAGCGCGGCUGGUUCUCUGACACCUGUCUUCUGACACCUGAUAGCUGGAAAGGGGAAAGAUUUAUCGACCAAAAGAUCGGCCCGCGUAAAGAUUAGCUAGUUGGUGAGGUAAAAGCUCACCAAGGCUAUGAUC